rnacentral:rRNA from 1 species
AAAACUAGCCAGUCUUUUGGGUAUGAAACCCAUUUGGCGAGAGUAGUACUAGCAUGGGUGACCUCCUGGGAAGUCCUCGUGAAAGGGUUUC